GAGGCUAGUCACAAGAUCCGAUCUGAAAGACGUAAAGCUUCAUGACGCAAUAAUGCGUGACGAAUCGAGGGGAAGGCAUCAUACAAGUACCAUCCAUUCACGUGGCAUGCCGAGACUAGAUCAGCCUCGUACGAAGUCCAACAGAUUUUAUAAUUUCCUGUUAAUUGUGUGAUGUGAUAAAUAUGAUUCAAUUUUUGGCUGUCGCACUCCUUUGGCGUAUCAUGGGACGACGGAAGGCAAAGUUUUCAACGUAGAUAUCAGAAACGGGAGUACCUAUAUAAAGGUCGGUGUUUGGCCGACUUCACAUGUAUAAAAGAUCUCGCUAGACGCUCAGGAAUAAGAGGUCGCGUAAGACGUAAGCUGCGAGGUCUUUGUAACGGCUACGAGAGCCCCAGCUAUAUAAGGAGUCGCAGUCCUACCGAUAGCUGUCCCAAUACGCACCCGCUCGGUUCUCCCUCCGGCUUCUCCUGAUACCAGGACUGUUCUUGGCAUCCAUGGAGAUGCAGCCUUUGUGGCGCUUAAAACUGUUCUUGAAAUCAAACCCCAUCUCGUCUCUCCUCUCCUCUGCUUGUCUUCUCUUCUUGAACGAUGGGCGAGGCAACUCUGGAAGGCCUGCCGUACCGUAGGCAACCAGUAUGCAGCCAUUGUUGGAUGAAGAGGUCGCGGAAGGGGAAGGGAAGGGGGAUUUUUUGGCAACUGGAUGCAGCCGCUUAGGCUUGUAGUUCAAAGACUUGAUGACUCCCAACACGAUGCUGGAUUAAGCGGUUACUGCUGCAGCAUAUUGGAGAUCAGACAUGAUUUCUGAUGCAUGGAUGGGGUCUGUUAGAUGCAGGAGUCAUCAGAGCCUCAAAAUCCUACUUCACAGCUCUUUCACUGAUCCAUAUUCAUUGGAUAUGCCUAAGACUAUUACUAUUUGUGGAAACAAAGGUGCCUUCAAAGACUUUGGUUGAUCUUUAUUAUGAGGCUUUUGGAAGAACUUGGAUGGUUGCCUCUUCAAUGGUUAUCAUUGCACGGAAAGAGAUUUAUACAUAUAAGUCUUCUUUCAUUCUUUUUUUUUUUAAAAUAAUUCUAAUGAUCUAUAUUUUUUGUGAAGCUUUGGUGAAUUUUUCCCAAUGGUAGACAAAUAUUUUUGUUGUUUCCUCUUAGCAAGUCUAUUGGAAAUGACAAGGCAGGAGUACACCACAGGGUAUAUAAAGGAUUACAUUGCUACCGACAGCUGACCCAUUACCUGCCUGCUCAGUUCUCCAGCUUCCCCUGAUAUCAGAGUGGUUCUUGGCACCUAUGAAGGUUUAUUUUAUUAUCCUAGGACUCCUCUCUUCUUCUUCUUCUUCUUCAGCUUCUCCUUGUCUUAUUCCUAUCACAUGUUAGCUAAUUCUUGAACCAAAUGCAGCCUUUUUGCAGCUUAAAGCUGUUCUUGAAAAUGACUUCCAUCUCGCAUCGAACAAUCUCCAGCGGAGUGGGGGCCCUCAUGGUCAGAGGGGGUAGCUACGCUAGUGCCCCCCCCCUCAUGGUCAGAGGGGGUAGCUACGCUGGUUGCCCCCCCCCUCACUCCUUUUUCUUACCAAAAAAAAAAAGAAAAGAAAAGACUUCCAUCUCGUCUCUCCUCUCCUCUGCUUGUCUUCUCUUCUUGAAUGAUGGGCAAGGCAACUCUGGAGGGCCUGCAGUUUUUCAGGCAGCUAGUCUGCAGUCAUUGUUCGAUGGAGAGGUCACUUGAGGAGGGGAGUUCUUUCGGUUUCAGUCUCAUCCAUUCAAGAGUACCGUGGAGCCUCUGAGCCCUGGGUCUUCUCUUCUGGAAUGAUGGGCAAGGCAACUCUGGAAGGCCUGCUGUUUUUCAGGCAACCAGUAUGCGGCCAUUGUUGGAUGGAGAGGUUGCUUGAGCAGAAGAGCUCUUUUGGUUUCAGUAUCAUCCAUUCAAGGAUACCAUGGAGCCUCUGAGCCCUAGAGUCGAGCUGGUUGUAUGCUGAGCAUUCAAACAAUGGAAUUAGUGGAACCAGUUAUCUUAACUUACUCUGUGACCUUUACCAUAAUGAUAAGGGCCCUAUCAGUUCUAGCCUUGAAGCCAAUGCAAUACUAGUGAUUGUGCUCCAAUUUCAGAAUGAAACGCAACAGCUCAAAUAGAAUAGUAAGAUUAUGUUUGAAAGCCUCGUAUUUACCAAAAAAGGAAACAGCCAUGGAAAAAUGCACUUUUGAAAGAGGCAAAAGGCUACACGGUAUUUAAGAAGGAGCUCUGUCAGAGGGACAGCAAGAUUAGACCCGCAGAACUGGGUCCUUCUCAUAAUUUCUCUAUUUCUUUUGAUGUACUGCAGGAUGCGGUUUGCCACUCGGUGCAGGGAUUGGUGCAUUGCUGGUAUGCCACAUCCCAGAAGGGUGGUGCCUCGAAUGACGAACACGUGUGGCUCUCACCAGUCAACUCAUGCCAUGUGGCAUGUUAGUUAUGCUUUUAGCCGGCGGAUGAUAAAUUAGGUAGUGUAAUGGUAGCACAGAUAUCUCACAGAAAUGUUAAAUAACUAGAGGCAAAAGUACAAUAGGAAGAGAUGUAAAGGGGAGAGAAAAGUAGAUCCUGGACAUUUAUUUAGAGGGCUUGAACAGGAACAUGGUAUAGCCCUCUCUCCUGAAAAGGCACUUUGCAUCAUCACUUUAUUCACUUCUUUCCUCUCCUCUGCGUGCCUUUUCUAGUGGUUGGCAGGGCAAUUAUAGGUGUCCUGUUCUGCAAAAACCAAUUUGCAGCCAAUGUUCUUACAUGUCAUCCCUUAACAGGGGAAAAAUCACCUAUAAUUCUAGCAUUUGUUGGAAGUCCAUAUGUAAUUUAAACUAGUCCUCAGCACUCGGGAUGCCAGACUAGUUGCUUGCUUUCUUGCACAUCCCCCAACAAGAAAACUCUCUACCACUGACAUUUGUUGUGGUGUUAUAUUAAGAUUGCUUCUGUCAUAUUUGACACUAGUUCCAGCACUUGGCACGCUGAGAAUAGUUCAGAUUUAAUGUUUGCAUGCUCACACAAAACCCCACCAUAAGAUUCAAAAAUUAGAUAAAAUUUUCUUCUGCUAUUACUAAUAUGGGUUAGAUUUCAGAUUGAACAGGUAUUCGAAGGAAAAGAGGGAGAAGAAGGGGACUUGUGGGAUUGGUAGAUGAGCUGGGUGCUGCCACUGGCAUUGCUGAAUGAAUUUCUUCUUCUUAUGCUUUUUUGAUCCCAAGAAACAGAAUGGAUUCAUUCUAUCUUUACAUUUGCUGUCUUUCAUAAUAAAUGGAUUAAUUUGCUGGUAGAUAGCGUAUAGAUCUUAGAAUGGCCCAGUUUGAAUUAUGUGAAGAUCUCAGAAUGACUCAGUCUGAAUUUUGUUACAAAGGUCAAAUUUUAUUUUUUAUAUUUUAUAACUAUGUAGUGGCUUUUGUUUGAUAUGGUUAAUAUUUCCCUGUUUGGAGAGUAGUGCAGGGGGUUACCAUCCAGCUACUCGGUGCUAAGCAGUAUAUUUACCCUUUGUGGCUCAAUAUUUUAGCAUGGAUGAGAGUGUGACCUUGUGUUUACUUUUUGCUAAUGUUGAACCAAUUUUAGCUUGUAAUGGAGUUUAUGCCACUCUCAACAUAUUGUUUCCACUGUUGUGCUACUUGGUAUCAAAAUCUUGUGAUUAGAGAUAUGAUUAUGAUGUUAAGCACCUAAAAGUGCAACAAUAUUGUUUCCAUUGUUUGUGGCUCAAUAUUGUUUCCACUGCAGAAAGCAAUAUUUUUCCACUCUUAUCUUGCCUUACAAAUAUUAUAGAACUUUACAUUAGUAAUGUAUGUGGAUACCAUCUGUCUACCCAUUGCUGAGUAGUACCUUACCCUUUACAACUCAGUCUUAGCGAGUACCAUCUGGCUACCCAUUGCUAAGUAAUACAUUUACCCUUUAUAGGUCAAUGUUGGAGAGCGGAUAAUAGUGUGACCUUAUGCUUUUGUUUUUUCUAAUGUUGACCAAUUUUAGCUUGUGAUGAUGUUUAUGCAACUCCCAAGAAAUUGUCUCCACUCUGAUGGCACUUAGUGUCAAAAUCCCAUGAUCAGAGAGAUAACUAAUACAACGCUUAGCACUAAAAGUGCAAGCUGCAGAAAAGUAAUCUCAUCUCAUUCUUAUUUCAUAUUACAAAAACUAUAACAUAUUAAAUUCGAAUUGGUAUUUUUGUCAGGUAAUUGUUUCUGGAAAUCGACAAUCUUUAUAUACUAAGAUCGUUGAGAGUGCAAUGGCAUGAGGACCUGAAGUAAGUUUUCUCCUGUUGGUGAUUGUUGUAAUUGCUUUAUUCAUUUUAAUUUAAAGCAUGUGGCACGCAUGAACAGAGUUGAACUUUUGCAUGGACCAAGAUAAGUAGUCUUGAUAUCAAAUAUUGUAGCAUAUGACUAUAGGUUAAGUAUUUAAACAGCAGCUGAAUACAUUUUUUUUUUUUUAACGAUGACUUAAGGGGGACAUGGUUAUGCCUAAUAGUGAGUCAUUGGACUGACAGAUAAGUGCUUCUUGGUUAUUGCAUCUGUAAAUGUUGUUAUUUUGAUUGACCUUAUGAAAAUAAUAGCAGGGUGCAAGAAUCUUGGCCCAGAGUCCGUGUAGGUUUGUGACAAUGGAAGGUUAGUAAAAUGAAUUUAAAAAUGUGACGACUGAUGAGGAACCUGCUACUUAUUCAUUGUUGGGUGCAUUGCUCAGUUAUUUCACUCAUACGGAAGUCAAAAGCUUUCAAUAGCGUGCACCAAGAACGGAUCAGAUGCUUGGAGAAUUUUUUGGAGAAUUGUUUCAUGCACUUGACAUAAAUUCGUGAUGACAGAAAAUGCAGGAAAUGUGGCUGAAUAACUAAUAUCAGUGGAUAUUUUUUUUCCUAAGGCUGUUAUACUAGCAUAUAAGCCUGCAAAUUAGUUAAAGCAAUACUCGCGUAAAAUUCAAAUUAAUUUGGAUCAAAUUCUCUUAGAAUGGACUUAUUUUAUGUAUCAUUAGUAGUGGUUAGACCUAGAUUCACUGUACCAGUGAGUACUGCCCUGCACCAUGGGUAUCGGAGUGAGACUUGGUACACCCCACGAACUGACCCCUGUACUGGAACACCGUGCAAGCGUGAUGCUGGUAUGGGGUCAAGUACCAAGAUUGCAAACCAUGGGUUAUAUUAAUGGUGUUGUGCUCUAGAUAAUAAAGGGUAAAAGAAAAUGACUAAAUUUUGAAACAACAAAAUAGACUGAAGCAUGCUGGUUAAUAUUUUUGCUGGAAAGGUACAUCUUCAUCUAUUAAGAUCC